AUGGAGUCAGCAACUGAUGGUCAGCAACAGGAGUCAUCGGACCGACCCAAGAGAGACCCUCGUCCACCUGCACAUUUGGCCCAGUACGAAGUCAAUUUUCUGCCCUAUCAACAGCCUGUGGUCCAAGCCUCUUCUACCCCUGUAGGACAACCAGACCAGGCUCAGUCAACCAGAGCUAGGAGUUUGACAAGUUACCGGUCAGCUGCACAUUCACGACGGUCCUCUCAGUUAUCUUACGGACUCCAUCUGUUUCGAAGUACGUCUGAUAUACAAGAAGCUGCUUUAGAGGAGGAGAUCAAAGGAUUGGAGCUAGCUGACCUACAACAGGAAAUAGAAGAGGAAAGGAAAGCUGACUUAGAAGCGGCAGCAUUGGAUGCACAAGCCAGAGAAGGACAGCGGCUGCAAGAGGAAGCACAUCUGGCUAAAGAGAGAAUAGCUAGAGAGAUGGGAAGACGCAGGCGUUUAAAGAAACUCGAGAAGGAGGUGCACAUUGCCAGUCUUGUAAAGACCUACCUGACAGGGACGAAUAAUGAAUCCUUGUCUACGUCGUCAGCUCCUGCUACGUUCUCCAAGCUACCUCUGCCAUCACAAUUGGUUCAACAGCCACCUCGGGUGCAAUUAAUCCCCAAGCAGCAUCCACCUGUGCAACAGCCAAAUCCAGAGCCAGUUCAGAUAACACCUCUCUCCACUGUUCCUACUCAGAUAUUAGCACCACCUGCUAAUCCCGUCACGAGUGCCCAGAUCAGUUUUCCUGUCAGCGCAGCACCGAUUGCAGUACCAGUCUCUGGACUUCCAUCUGUACCUGUCCCAUUCGUUCCCGUCCUGUCCACAGUACAGACAGGUGGAGCGUCACCGAUGGCAAGGUCUUCUGUCACAACUAAUCUACCGUCUCAGUACCUAGGGGCUCCAGCUACCAGUACAAGCUUCACAAUGCCACCACAAGCAGUUACAGUGGCACCGCCACCUCCUGCAGUGCAGUAUACUCACCGCAGUAUACCAACUGCAACACCAGUUCAGACGGCACCACCCUGGACCUACCCGGGUAUGGAAACCCUGAUUGCUACAUCUUACGGCAUUCCCAAACCAACACUUCCCUUCUUCGAGAGCGGCAGAGAAAGUGAUUUCGCACUUUUGAAGAUGGCGCUCGACAACUUGAUGAAUAGUCACCCUCAUCUCAGCGAGCACUAUAAAUAUCAAGUUCUCCUGAGUCAGCUCAAGCUUCAGAGUGCU
ensembl:lncRNA